rnacentral:rRNA from 1 species
AGAGUGCGUAAUAGCUCACUAGUCGAGAGGUCCUGCGCCGAAAAUGUCCGGGGCUAAAACACACUGCCGAAGCUUUGGAAUUGAGAAUUCAAUUGGUAGAGGAGCAUUCUUAAAGGGACGAAGCAGUACCGUAAGGAGCUGUGGACUUUUAAGAAGAGAGAAUGCCGGAAUGAGUAGCGAGAGGAAGGUGGGAAUCCUUCCGGCCGAAUAUCUAAGGUUUCCAGAGUAAAGCUGAUCUGCUCUGGGUAAGUCGGGGCCUAAGGCGAGGUCGAAAGACGUAGUCGAUGGAUAACAGGUUGAAAUUCCUGUACUAUCCUGUAACAGAACUGUGGGGACGCAGACAGAGAGCACAAGCCGGGAAUGGAAAGACCGGUGCAAGCGAGGUAGGAGUACAUCAGGCAAAUCCGGUGUGCAAUCCGAAGACGUGAUGCGGAUCGAAAAGAAGUAGAGAAGUGUGUGAGCUGGCUGCCAAGAAAAGCCGCUAUUGUUUACAGGAUACCCGUACCGUAAACCGACACAGGUGGAUGAGGAGAGAAUCCUAAGGCCGACGGAAGAAGCAUUGUUAAGGAACUCGGCAAAAUGACCCCGUAACUUCGGGAGAAGGGGUGCCCUGUGAAAGCAGGGCCGCAGAGAAUAGGCUCAAGCAACUGUUUAGCAAAAACACAGGUCUAUGCGAAACCGAAAGGUGAGGUAUAUGGGCUGACGCCUGCCCGGUGCUGGAAGGUUAAGAGGAGAGGUUAGCGGUAACGCGAAGCUUUGAAUUUAAGCCCCAGUAAACGGCGGCCGUAACUAUAACGGUCCUAAGGUAGCGAAAUUCCUUGUCGGGUAAGUUCCGACCCGCACGAAAGGCGUAAUGAUUUGAGCGCUGUCUCGACAAUGCAUCCGGUGAAAUUGAAGUACCAGUGAAGAUGCUGGUUACCUGCGCCAGGACGGAAAGACCCCAUGGAGCUUUACUCCAGUCUGGUACUGGGACUCGGUAUUGCAUGUACAGGAUAGGUGGGAGGCUAGGAGAUGGUAACGCCAGUUGCCAUGGAGCCGCUGUUGGGAUACCACCCUUGCAGUAUUGGGUUUCUAACCAGCCGCCGUGACCCGGCGGUGGGACAAUGCCAGACGGGGAGUUUGACUGGGGCGGUCGCCUCCGAAAGGGUAUCGGAGGCGCCCAAAGGUUCCCUCAGAAUGGACGGAAACCAUUCGAAGAGUGCAAAGGCAGAAGGGAGCUUGACUGCGACACCGACGG